GACAGAGGGUGCAAACGUUGCUCGGAAUCACUGGGCGUAAAGGGCGUGUAGGCGGGAAGGAAAGUCAGAUGUGAAAUCCCCGGGCUCAACCCGGGAACUGCGUCCGAUACUGGCAGGCUUGAAUCCGGGAGAGGGAUGCGGAAUUCCAGGUGUAGCGGUGAAAUGCGUAGAUAUCUGGAGGAACACCGGUGGCGAAGGCGGCAUCCUGGACCGGCAUUGACGCUGAGGCGCGAAAGCCAGGGGAGCAAACGGG
rnacentral:rRNA from 1 species